rnacentral:miRNA from 1 species
UAUAUAUAUAUAUAUGUGUAUAUAUAUAUAUAUAUAUAUACACAUAUAUAUAUAUAUAUAUAUAUAUAUACACACACACAUAUAUAUAUAUAUAUAUGUAUAUAUAUA